GUACAGACUUCACUGAGUUUUUACAUAAAUUUGCUAUCAGUCGUAAGUUGUUGCAAAAAUCGAAUCAGCUCAACAUUAAUUUAGCGUGCGAACUGUUUGUUAGUGAACUGAUAAACGGGAAGUACGGU
rnacentral:sRNA from 1 species